UACGGAUGGGGCGAGCGUUGUUCGGAAUCAUUGGGCGUAAAGGGAGCGUAGGCGGCGCGUUAAGCGGGAUUUUUCAACACUCGGCUUACCCGAGUGAGCGAUCCCGAACUGAUGCGCUGGAGUCCGCUAGAGGUCACUGGAAUUCCGGGUGUAGGGGUGAAAUCUAUAGAGAUCCGGAGGAACACCGAUGGCGAAGGCAGGUGACUGGGGCUGGACUGACGCUGAGGCUCGAAAGCCAGGGGAGCAAACG
rnacentral:rRNA from 1 species